ACUCGCAGCUCUCCAUUUUCCGGUCACAGACUGGAACUUUCCUCUGCUCGGAACUCAGCGCUUCUGGACUAGUGCAGUACAGAAGCUGUCAGAAAGAGUGGUUUCAGAUACUGCUGUUGACACACACACCCACUGUGAAAGAUCACACUCAUAGAGACCUGAAACAAAAAUACUAGAAUCACGAAAGUGGAAGAGACCAUAGAGACAUCAUCUUGCCUCAGAUGAAGAUAUUUCUCUUCUCCACCUGGACUCCACGAGAUGGUCGGAUGCAUGUAAGUACCCAAAUAGCAAUGCAUUCAGUACCCAGGGGAUUAAACCACAUGAAAGUUAACAUGUAUGCCUGACCUAAAAGGUAUGAAAUAGAAAAAAAUCUGUACAUUGAAAGGAGAAAGGAGAGAAAAUAUGCAAUAU